CGUGAUAUAUAUGGAGAUUACAAGUUUGUAGCAAGAAAAACAAAAGAAGAAAGGAAAAGAAGAAUUCUCUGGUGGUAGAUUGGCACAAUUCAGUUUGCUUCCACCUUUUUGGAGGAGAACCCUUACUGAUCUCCUCUAACUUGGACUCUUGUUUGCUUCAAGCAUUCUUGGAUCUAAAAUGGGCCUUGCUCCUUGAAUUUGGGAGAUAUAGAUUUAAUAGGAUUGUGGGAGAAUAAGAAUUAAGGGAAGGGGAGGGGAAGAGAGAAAGUUAAAGAGAAGCUAAAGCAUAAGCUAAGAAAUCAACGACUUAAAAAGAGCACAAGAGGGCUAAAAGAGAUC
rnacentral:lncRNA from 1 species